rnacentral:tRNA from 1 species
CGGGACGUGGCGCAGUCUGGUAGCGCACUUGACUGGGGGUCAAGGGGUCGUAGGUUCAAAUCCUAUCGUUCCGA